CCUACGGGAGGCAGCAGUGGGGAAUAUUGCUCAAUGGGGGAAACCCUGAAGCAGCCACGCCGCGUGGAGGAUGACGGUUUUACGAUUGUUAACUCUUUUUGUUAGAGGAGCUUCUGACGGUAUCUAACGAAUAGGCACAGGUUAACUCCGUUCAAGCAGCCGCGGGAAUCCGGCGGGUGCCAGCGUUAAUCGGAAUCACUUGGCGUAAAGAGUGCGUAGGUGGGGUAAUAAUUCAGGUGUGAAAUCCUGUAGCUUAACUACAGAACUGCAUUUGAAACUGUUACUCUGGAGUGUGGGAGAGGUAUGCGGAAUGCGUGGUGUAGGGGUAAAAUGCAUAGAGAUCAAGAGGAAAACUGAUUGCGAAGGCGGCCUACUGGAGCAUUACUGACGCUGAUGCACGAAAGCGUGGGGAUCAAACAGGAUUAGAUACCCUAGUAGUC
rnacentral:rRNA from 1 species